UACGAAGGGGGCUAGCGUUGUUCGGAAUUACUGGGCGUAAAGCGCACGUAGGCGGCUUUGCAAGUUAGAGGUGAAAGCCCGGGGCUCAACUCCGGAAUUGCCUUUAAGACUGCAUCGCUAGAAUUGUGGAGAGGUAAGUGGAAUUCCGAGUGUAGAGGUGAAAUUCGUAGAUAUUCGGAAGAACACCAGUGGCGAAGGCGACUUACUGGACACAUAUUGACGCUGAGGUGCGAAAGCGUGGGGAGCAAACAGG
rnacentral:rRNA from 1 species